GGGGGUGAAAGGUUUCGACUUAGACGAGUUGGGUAUCAGUGGCAUGCCGCGGACGCAGGGAAGGCCGCGAUAACAAACCUUGCAAAAGUCAAACGCUAAAAACGAGAAUGAUCGUUUAUUAAAAACAGUUGAGGGUUAUGUUGCUCCAUUUUUUGUUGCAACACCCCGCCCUGUUUUUACAGCGCCAGUCUUCGCUCACUAAUCUGAGCGAAGCCCCUUACCGUUUAGCCUAAGAAACGGCGUAGGGCAAAUUAGAUAGGCUGGUUUCCUGCCCUGCCCUGGGACAGGGAAUGAGAGCUAUAAAAGGGAUGACCCUUAGGGAAUCACGGUUAUCGGAGGCCCUGAGGAUGACGGUUAAAAAGGUAACCUACGCAUUGUAGAGGCUGGUAUUUGACUGUUUGAGGACGCGAGUUCGAUUCUCGCCACCUCCACCA
rnacentral:sRNA from 1 species